rnacentral:rRNA from 1 species
UACGGAGGGGGUUAGUGUUGUUCGGAAUGACUGGGCGUAAAGCGCGCGUAGGCGGACCUGCAAGUCGGGGGUGAAAUCCCGGGGCUCAACCCUGGAAUGGCCUUCGAGACUGCCGGUCUUGAGUUCGAGAGAGGUGGGUGGAAUUCCGAGUGUAGAGGUGAAAUUCGUAGAUAUUCGCAAGAACACCAGUGGCGAAGGCGGCUCACGUGGCCCGAAACUGACGCUGAGGCACGAAAGCGUGGGGAGC